GAUGAACGCUGGCGGCGUGCCUAAUACAUGCAAGUCGAGCGAACGGACGAGAAGCUUGCUUCUCUGAUGUUAGCGGCGGACGGGUGAGUAACACGUGGAUAACCUACCUAUAAGACUGGGAUAACUUCGGGAAACCGGAGCUAAUACCGGAUAAUAUUUUGAACCGCAUGGUUCAAAAGUGAAAGACGGUCUUGCUGUCACUUAUAGAUGGAUCCGCGCUGCAUUAGCUAGUUGGUAAGGUAACGGCUUACCAAGGCAACGAUGCAUAGCCGACCUGAGAGGGUGAUCGGCCAAAAUGGAACGGAGACACGGUCCAGAAGACUACGGGAGGCAGCAGUAGGGAAACUUCCGCAAUGGGCGAAAGCCUGACGGAGCAACGCCGCGUGAGUGAUGAAGGGCUUCGGAUCGUAAAACUCUGUUAUUAGGGAAGAACAUAUGUGUAAGUAACUGUGCACAUCUUGACGGUACCUAAUCAGAAAGCCACGGCUAACUACGUGC
rnacentral:rRNA from 1 species